AUUGAACGCUGGCGGCAGGCCUAACACAUGCAAGUCGAGCGCGCGGCGGAAGGGUGAGUAAUGUCUGUGAAAAUGCCUGAUGGAGGGGGCACACAACAGUAUACGGUAGCUAAUACCGCAUAACAUCCGAUGUGUCCAGAUGGGAUUAGAUAGUUGGUGGGGUAACGGGUCACCUAGGCUACGAGCCCUAGCUGGUCUGAGAGGAUGACCAGCCACACUGGAACUGAGACACGGUCCAGACUCCUACGGGAGGCAGCAGUGGGGAAUAUUGCACAAUGGGCGCAAGCCUGAUGCAGCCAUGCCGCGUGUAUGAAGAAGGCCUUCGGGUUGUAAAGUACUUUCAGCGAGGAGGCGUUACUCGCAGAAGAAGCACCGGCUAACUCCGUGCCAGCAGCCGCGGUAAUUC
rnacentral:rRNA from 1 species